rnacentral:rRNA from 1 species
GGAUGAGCUCAAAUUUGUAAUCUGGUGGACUCAGUUCAUCCGAGUUGUAAUCUAUAGAAAAGUUUUCCGCGCCGGACCGUGUCUAAGUCCCUUGGAACAGGGUGUCAGAGAGGGUGAGAAUCCCGUGCUUGAUACGACCACCGGUGCUAUGUGAUACUUUUUCAACGAGUCGAGUUGUUUGGGAAUGCAGCUCAAAAUGGGUGGUAAAUUCCAUCUAAAGCUAAAUAUUGGCGAGAGACCGAUAGCGAACAAGUACCGUGAGGGAAAGAUGAAAAGCACUUUGGAAAGAGAGUUAAACAGUACGUGAAAUUGUUAAAAGGGAAACGAUUGAAGUCAGUCGUGCUCUCUGGGACUCAGCCGGUUCUUCCGGUGUAUUUCCCAGUGAGCGGGUCAACAUCAGUUUAGAUCGCUGGAUAAGGUCAUUAGGAAUGUGGCUCCCUCGGGAGUGUUAUAGCCUAGUGUCGCAUACAGUGGUUUAGACUGAGGAACGCAGCUCGCCUUUAUGGCCGGGGUUCGCCCACGUCCGAGCUUAGGAUGUUGACAUAAUGGCUUUAAACGACCCGUCUUG